ACGCGUAAUGAAAGUGAACGUAGGAGAGAGCUUCGGCGCAUCUCCGACCGAUCCUGAUGUUCUCGGAUGGAUUUGAGUAAGAGCAUACGGGGCCGGACCCGAAAGAAGGUGAACUAUGCCUGUAUAGGGUGAAGCCAGAGGAAACUCUGGUGGAGGCUCGCAGCGGUUCUGACGUGCAAAUCGAUCGUCAAAUAUGGGCAUGGGGGCGAAAGACUAAUCGAACCUUCUAGUAGCUGGUUUCCGCCGAAGUUUCCCUCAGGAUAGCAGUGUUGAGCUCAGUUUUAUGAGGUAAAGCGAAUGAUUAGGGACUCGGGGGCGCUUAUUAGCCUUCAUCCAUUCUCAAACUUUAAAUAUGUAAGAAGCUCUUGUUACUUAAUUGAACGUGAGCAUUCGAAUGUAUCAACACUAGUGGGCCAUUUUUGGUAAGCAGAACUGGCGAUGCGGGAUGAACCGAACGCGAGGUUAAGGUGCCAGAGUAGACGCUCAUCAGACACCACAAAAGGUGUUAGUACAUCUUGACAGCAGGACGGUGGCCAUGGAAGUCGGAAUCCGCUAAGGACUGUGUAACAACUCACCUGCCGAAUGUACUAGCCCUGAAAAUGGAUGGCGCUCAAGCGUCUCACCCAUACCUCGCCCUCAGGGUAGAAACGAUGCCCUGAGGAGUAGGCGGACG
rnacentral:rRNA from 1 species